ensembl:snRNA
GUGUUGUAUGAAAGGAGAGAACUUUAGCACUCUCCUUGAUAAGGAUAUGUAUCUUAGUGGCCUUUACGACACACAUACAGUUACAGUAUUGCCACCUACUCUGUGGCAUGUAACCAUUUUUA